rnacentral:sRNA from 1 species
UCACAGUCACCAAUACUAUCCACUAACC